GGCGUAGGACCCUCCGAGCCAGGUGCGGGACAUAAUCUCGUGGUGCGCCGUUUUUUACGCCGGUCCGAAAAGCGCAAUAUUCGGGUGGGAGUGACCCGAUUUUCCAGUGAGGGAACAGCAAGAAGACAGCCAUCUGCAAAGAAGAGGGCUGUCACCAGACACUAGCUCUGCUGGCAUCUUGGACUUCCCAGCCUCCAGAAUGGUGAGAAAUAACUAUUUGUUGUUUCAGCCACCCUGUCUACAGUAAUUUUUUCUAGCAGCUUGAACUAAGGGGUGCCUCACAUCCUCACCAGAACCUCUCCUUUUGCAUUAAGCAAUUUUUAUCUUUUAUCACAGUGACUUACUAUAAGGUUCUUGAAGGCAGAGUGUGUGACUAACUCACAUUUUUAUCAUCAGGAGCACAUAGAGGUUGUCUAUACAUACUUAAAUGGCAAUAAGAAUGCACAAAUCAGGAGAAAUAAGCUGGCCAGUCAUUCUAGCCACGUGGAAGCCUGGUGUAAUGGAGUAAACCGUGGAGGAUGAGUCAGAAGAGUUGGUUUAGUCCUAGCUCUGCUAGUGGUGUCCAGAGAACCUCAGUUUCCUAUACUUAAAAUAAAGACAUUGCAUCAGGAAGUUUCUCAGGUCUUGUCAACCUCUAACAAUCUGUAGUUCAAGGUUCUGUCUGACUAGAACACGUUUCCUUUGCCCCAUCCCUUAGCUGUGAUGGAAGGAGUCACUCUCUCUUCCAAUUUCAACCUAAAGAUCACUUCCUCCAGAAAAUCUUCCCGCCCUUCUCCCCCACCUCUCCUAGAUUAAGUUAAUGCUUUUUAUUGCCCAUAUUACAUAUAUUUUUCACAUCACAAUAAUCACCCCAUUCAAUAAUACUUAUUUGUCUGAUUCCAAGUAUAGGCUUUCUGAGGGCUUGUUUAAAUUGCUUCUAUUAUCUCCCCUGUUCCUAGCAUAGCAUCUGACCCAGAGUAGGGGCUUAAUAUAUAUUUUUAAAAUGAAAAAGAAAUAAA
ensembl:lncRNA LINC01418 long intergenic non-protein coding RNA 1418